AGUGAACGCUGGCGGUAGGCCUAACACAUGCAAGUCGAACGGCAGCACAGUAAGAGCUUGCUCUUACGGGUGGCGAGUGGCGGACGGGUGAGGAAUACAUCGGAAUCUACUUUUUCGUGGGGGAUAACGUAGGGAAACUUACGCUAAUACCGCAUACGACCUACGGGUGAAAGCAGGGGAUCUUCGGACCUUGCGCGAUUGAAUGAGCCGAUGUCGGAUUAGCUAGUUGGCGGGGUAAAGGCCCACCAAGGCGACGAUCCGUAGCUGGUCUGAGAGGAUGAUCAGCCACACUGGAACUGUGCCACGGUCCAGACUCCUACGGGAGGCAGCAGUGGGGAAUAUUGGACAAUGGGCGCAAGCCUGAUCCAGCCAUACCGCGUGGGUGAAGAAGGCCUUCGGGUUGUAAAGCCCUUUUGUUGGGAAAGAAAAGCAGCAGGUUAAUACCCCGCUGUUCUGACGGUACCCAAAGAAUAAGCACCGGCUAACUUCGUG
rnacentral:rRNA from 1 species